UCUUCAAAUAUUACAUGAAAU
rnacentral:piRNA from 1 species